rnacentral:rRNA from 1 species
GUUCCUUGAGGAGUGGCUUCCGGAGCUAACGCGUUAAGUCGACCGCCUGGGGAGUACGGCCGCAAGGUUAAAACUCAAAUGAAUUGACGGGGGCCCGCACAAGCGGUGGAGCAUGUGGUUUAAUUCGAUGCAACGCGAAGAACCUUACCUACUCUUGACAUCCAGAGAACUUACCAGAGAUGCAUUGGUGCCUUCGGGAACUCUGAGACAGGUGCUGCAUGGCUGUCGUCAGCUCGUGUUGUGAAAUGUUGGGUUAAGUCCCGCAACGAGCGCAACCCUUAUCCUUUGUUGCCAGCGGUUCGGCCGGGAACUCAAAGGAGACUGCCAGUGAUAAACUGGAGGAAGGUGGGGAUGACGUCAAGUCAUCAUGGCCCUUACGAGUAGGGCUACACACGUGCUACAAUGGCGCAUACAAAGAGAAGCGACCUCGCGAGAGCAAGCGGACCUCAUAAAGUGCGUCGUAGUCCGGAUUGGAGUCUGCAACUCGACUCCAUGAAGUCGGAAUCGCUAGUAAUCGUAGAUCAGAAUGCUACGGUGAAUACGUUCCCGGGCCUUGCACUCCCCGCCCGUCAAAA